UACAGAGGGUGCAAGCGUUGUUCGGAAUCAUUGGGCGUAAAGGGCGUGUAGGCGGUUUUGUUAAGUCAUGUGUGAAAUCCCUCGGCUCAACCGGGGGAACGACGCAUGAAACUGGCAAGCUAGAGUACCAAAGAGGGCGGUGGAAUUCCCGGUGUAGCGGUGAAAUGCGCAGAUAUCGGGAGGAACACCGGUGGCGAAGGCGGUUCUCUGGGCCUUACCUGACGCUGAGGAGCGAAAGCGUGGGGGAGCGAACAGG
rnacentral:rRNA from 1 species